rnacentral:rRNA from 1 species
AGCUCUGUAAGCGUAUACCAAAGUUGUUGCAGUUAAAACGCUCGUAGUCGGAGGUUGGCGGGCGGCGCGGGGCGUCCUCACGGACGGUUCUGCGGCGGCCGCCUUUGUGGAUGGGGGCUAGAGCGAUGUUUCAUUACAUUGCACUAGUCGCUGCCACCGUUUACUGUGAAAAAAUUAGAGUGUUCAAAGCAGGCAUUCAUCGUGCCCGAAUACAUGAGCAUGGAAUAAUGGAACAGGACUACGGUCACUGCACUUUUUCCGUUGGUUUCGGAGGACCGAAGUAAUGAUUAAGAGGGACAGUUGGGGGCAUCCGUAUUUCGUAGUCAGAGGUGAAAUUCUUGGAUCUGCGAAAGACGAACGAGUGCGAAAGCAUUUGCCAAGAGUGUUUUCAUUAAUCAAG